rnacentral:rRNA from 1 species
UACAGGGGGGGCAAGCGUUGUUCGGAAUUACUGGGCGUAAAGGGCUCGUAGGCGGCCAACUAAGUUCCGACGUGAAAUCCCCAGGCUUAACCUGGGAACUGCGUCGGAUACUGGAUGGCUUGAAUUCGGGAGAAGGGAUGCAGAAUUCCAGGGUGUAGCGGGUGAAAUGCGUAGAUAUCUGGAGGAAUACCGGUGGCGAAGGCGGCAUCCUGGACCGACAUUGACGCUGAUGAGCGAAAGCUAGGGGAGCAAACGGGAUUAAGAU